CGGGAAAUACAGCUGUUUAUUCUCUAUGACAUUGGGAUCUGAGACAUAUCUCGGUGUAUGGAAUCAGGAUACGGCUGUUGAUAACAUCAAUACAUUCAGAUUCUCCUGUUUUGCAUACUCCAUAACAGGUGAUGUUUUGUACGCCACAGAAACGCCGACUGCAUGUACAAGUACUACAACGUCUACUGAUCUUGGAUCAGCAACGGACGGUGUUACUAUUGUAGCAUGGAAUAUUAUUUUGAGGUGUCCUGAUAGAGUAAUAGUGCC